CACGGGGGUUGCGAGCGUUGUCCGGAAUUACUAGGCGUAAAGGGCAGGCAGGCGGAUCCAUAAGUUUAUCGUUUAAGGCGUCGGCUUAACCGGCGUAGGGCGGUAGAUACUGUGGAUCUGGAAUGCGGUUGGGGAAGACAGAAUUCCUGGUGUAGCGGUGGAAUGCGCAGAGAUCAGGAGGAAUACCGAAGGCGAAGGCAGUCUUCCAAGCCGUUAUUGACGCUAAACUGCGAAGGUGUGGGUAUCAAACAGGAUUAGAUACCCGGGUAGUCCCUGAGCGGG
rnacentral:rRNA from 1 species